GCCAGAGCCAUAUCUCCCUGCAGCUCUCCCCUGGUUUCCCACUGAAGCUAAGCAGGGUUGAGCCUGGCCAGUACCUGGGUGUUAGCUCUCCAGGUUGCAGCUGGAA
rnacentral:rRNA from 1 species